ensembl:snRNA LOC120097284 U2 spliceosomal RNA
AUCGCUUCUCGGCCUUUUGGCUAAGAUCAAGUGUAGAAGUCAUGCUCAAACCUGGCUGCUUCCUUCUUCAAACUAACCUUACUUUCACUGUUAGGAAUUAGAGGUAUAUAAUAAGGGCAUGUCUCUAUUUCAACCAGAUAAUUCUGUAGUCUGCAUUCUGCCUAGAUGAUAUUUGGAUAUGAU